GGUUAAGCGACUAAGCGUACACGGUGGAUGCCCUGGCAGUCAGAGGCGAUGAAGGACGUGCUAAUCUGCGAUAAGCGUCGGUAAGGUGAUAUGAACCGUUAUAACCGGCGAUUUCCGAAUGGGGAAACCCAGUGUGAUUCGUCACACUAUCAUUAACUGAAUCCAUAGGUUAAUGAGGCGAACCGGGGGAACUGAAACAUCUAAGUACCCCGAGGAAAAGAAAUCAACCGAGAUUCCCCCAGUAGCGGCGAGCGAACGGGGAGGAGCCCAGAGCCUGAAUCAGUAUGUGUGUUAGUGGAAGCGUCUGGAAAGGCGUGCGAUACAGGGUGACAGCCCCGUACACAAAAAUGCACAUGCUGUGAGCUCGAUGAGUAGGGCGGGACACGUGGUAUCCUGUCUGAAUAUGGGGGGACCAUCCUCCAAGGCUAAAUACUCCUGACUGACCGAUAGUGAACCAGUACCGUGAGGGAAAGGCGAAAAGAACCCCGGCGAGGGGAGUGAAAAAGAACCUGAAACCGUGUACGUACAAGCAGUGGGAGCCUCUUUAUGGGGUGACUGCGUACCUUUUGUAUAAUGGGUCAGCGACUUAUAUUCUGUAGCAAGGUUAACCGAAUAGGGGAGCCGAAGGGAAACCGAGUCUUAACUGGGCGUUAAGUUGCAGGGUAUAGACCCGAAACCCGGUGAUCUAGCCAUGGGCAGGUUGAAGGUUGGGUAACACUAACUGGAGGACCGAACCGACUAAUGUUGAAAAAUUAGCGGAUGACUUGUGGCUGGGGGUGAAAGGCCAAUCAAACCGGGAGAUAGCUGGUUCUCCCCGAAAGCUAUUUAGGUAGCGCCUCGUGAAUUCAUCUCCGGGGGUAGAGCACUGUUUCGGCAAGGGGGUCAUCCCGACUUACCAACCCGAUGCAAACUGCGAAUACCGGAGAAUGUUAUCACGGGAGACACACGGCGGGUGCUAACGUCCGUCGUGAAGAGGGAAACAACCCAGACCGCCAGCUAAGGUCCCAAAGUCAUGGUUAAGUGGGAAACGAUGUGGGAAGGCCCAGACAGCCAGGAUGUUGGCUUAGAAGCAGCCAUCAUUUAAAGAAAGCGUAAUAGCUCACUGGUCGAGUCGGCCUGCGCGGAAGAUGUAACGGGGCUAAACCAUGCACCGAAGCUGCGGCAGCGACACUAUGUGUUGUUGGGUAGGGGAGCGUUCUGUAAGCCGUUGAAGGUGGCCUGUGAGGGUUGCUGGAGGUAUCAGAAGUGCGAAUGCUGACAUAAGUAACGAUAAAGCGGGUGAAAAGCCCGCUCGCCGGAAGACCAAGGGUUCCUGUCCAACGUUAAUCGGGGCAGGGUGAGUCGACCCCUAAGGCGAGGCCGAAAGGCGUAGUCGAUGGGAAACAGGUUAAUAUUCCUGUACUUGGUGUUACUGCGAAGGGGGGACGGAGAAGGCUAUGUUGGCCGGGCGACGGUUGUCCCGGUUUAAGCGUGUAGGCUGAUUUUCCAGGCAAAUCCGGAGAAUCAAGGCUGAGGCGUGAUGACGAGGCACUACGGUGCUGAAGCAACAAAUGCCCUGCUUCCAGGAAAAGCCUCUAAGCAUCAGGUAACAUCAAAUCGUACCCCAAACCGACACAGGUGGUCAGGUAGAGAAUACCAAGGCGCUUGAGAGAACUCGGGUGAAGGAACUAGGCAAAAUGGUGCCGUAACUUCGGGAGAAGGCACGCUGAUGGUAGGUGAAGCGACCUGCUCGUGGAGCUGAAAUCAGUCGAAGAUACCAGCUGGCUGCAACUGUUUAUUAAAAACACAGCACUGUGCAAACACGAAAGUGGACGUAUACGGUGUGACGCCUGCCCGGUGCCGGAAGGUUAAUUGAUGGGGUCAGCCGCAAGGCGAAGCUCUUGAUCGAAGCCCCGGUAAACGGCGGCCGUAACUAUAACGGUCCUAAGGUAGCGAAAUUCCUUGUCGGGUAAGUUCCGACCUGCACGAAUGGCGUAAUGAUGGCCAGGCUGUCUCCACCCGAGACUCAGUGAAAUUGAACUCGCUGUGAAGAUGCAGUGUACCCGCGGCAAGACGGAAAGACCCCGUGAACCUUUACUAUAGCUUGACACUGAACAUUGAGCCUUGAUGUGUAGGAUAGGUGGGAGGCUUUGAAGUGUGGACGCCAGUCUGCAUGGAGCCGACCUUGAAAUACCACCCUUUAAUGUUUGAUGUUCUAACGUGGACCCGUGAUCCGGGUUGCGGACAGUGUCUGGUGGGUAGUUUGACUGGGGCGGUCUCCUCCUAAAGAGUAACGGAGGAGCACGAAGGUUGGCUAAUCCUGGUCGGACAUCAGGAGGUUAGUGCAAUGGCAUAAGCCAGCUUGACUGCGAGCGUGACGGCGCGAGCAGGUGCGAAAGCAGGUCAUAGUGAUCCGGUGGUUCUGAAUGGAAGGGCCAUCGCUCAACGGAUAAAAGGUACUCCGGGGAUAACAGGCUGAUACCGCCCAAGAGUUCAUAUCGACGGCGGUGUUUGGCACCUCGAUGUCGGCUCAUCACAUCCUGGGGCUGAAGUAGGUCCCAAGGGUAUGGCUGUUCGCCAUUUAAAGUGGUACGCGAGCUGGGUUUAGAACGUCGUGAGACAGUUCGGUCCCUAUCUGCCGUGGGCGCUGGAGAACUGAGGGGGGCUGCUCCUAGUACGAGAGGACCGGAGUGGACGCAUCACUGGUGUUCGGGUUGUCAUGCCAAUGGCACUGCCCGGUAGCUAAAUGCGGAAGAGAUAAGUGCUGAAAGCAUCUAAGCACGAAACUUGCCCCGAGAUGAGUUCUCCCUGAGACUUUAAGUCUCCUGAAGGAACGUUGAAGACGACGACGUUGAUAGGCCGGGUGUGUAAGCGCAGCGAUGCGUUGAGCUAACCGGUACUAAUGAACCGUGAGGCUUAACCUU
rnacentral:rRNA from 1 species